rnacentral:lncRNA from 1 species
UGGAAAUGGCAAUUUUUAAAUUGUUCUGAAGUUCAUAUUUUUUUAUAGAGAAGCUAGCAUCUUCUUGCUUUUUGUUUUAUGUAUAAGAUUUCUGUUUCCAUUUGACAGGCUUUUAGAUUUGAACAUAUAUUCUCCAGGUUUAGUACUUACAGGGAUUUUGGAAGAGUCUCACAUACUCACUUCAUAUAAAUCGUAGAAACUACUUCUGUCUUAGAUCUGUGGUUCUCCACCCGCCGUCUGUUUUAUUAUUUUACCAUCAUUUAAAAUCUCCUUAUCUCAUAAGCACUUACAGAGACUCUCUCUCUUCACUAUAACUUCAGGAACAGAUUAAGUUUGCUUUUCAAAGCCAUUUAUCAUCAAAGAUAUGUUUUCGUUAGUGUUUUCUUUUGUAAAUCAUUUUAUUAUUGUAAGGUGCCUCUGGAUGCUGGCAUGAUAAUAGGCUAUAUAAAUGAUUUUGUCCUAUAUUUGUGUUGUAUAUACUUUAUUGUAAUAGCACUCUCGGGUCAAAAGCAGCCAAUAUUAUUCCGAUUAAUUCCUGUCUAGGCACUCAUAAAUUGUCCCUUAAUUUGCAGAGAGAAAACGAAGUCAUAUGAAGCAUAACCUUUCCCCGCUGCAGAAACUGCACCUGGCUUUUCUGGGUGAGAGGAGGCCCACCUCCCCGCGUCCUUCAAAGCAGCAGGCCUCGCUGCCACAAGGGGAUCUUCCUGCUGUACACAAAUAGCAUCAUUGCCAUGGCUAAAAGGACUGGGGUGAAAGGAACCACGGGUGCAAGAAGUGAGUAACAGGCUCAGGGUCAUGGGUUUAAGGAAAUGGAGGAAAAAUCAGCAGACAUCAAUAUGAAUCUUGGAAAGCUGCUUGUCAUCAGACAAGGGACACAAUGGGACCAAUGCUGCCUAACAGAUGAUUCAACAGGUUUUCCUAGGCGUUUUACUGAUCUGAGACAUGAAAUGUAAAGUUGUGGAAUAAGAUUCCUAGGAAGUGAUGAAUGAACAAAGAAGAUGUGGUAUAUAUGACACAACAAAGUACUACUCAGCCAUGAAAAAGAAUGAGGUCCAGUCAUUUGCAGCAACAUGAAUGGAACUGGAGGCCAUUUUUUUAAGCAAAGACACAAAGGUAAUUUUUAUGUGUCUCACUCAUUUGUGAGAGCUGAAAAUGAAAAAAAUUGAACUCAAAGAGAUAGAGAGUAGAAUGAUGGUUACCAGAGGCUGGGAAAGGUAGUGGGGAGAGGAGGGGAAAGUGGGGAUGGUUAACAGGUACAAAAAUAACGUUAGAAUGAGAUCUAGUAUUUGCUAGCACAACAUUGUGACUACAGUAAAGAAUAAUUUAAUAAACAUUUAAAAAUAACAGAAAGAUUAUGAUUGUAACACAAAGAAAUGAUAAAUGCUUGAUUUCCAUUUCCUCUGAUGUGGUUAUUACACAUUGUAUAUCUGUAUCAACAUAUCUCAUGUAUCCCACAAAUAUAUACACCUGCUACGUACCCAUAAAAUAAAAUAAAAAAUUUAAAAAAAUUUAAAA